CAUUGGCGGGUCUUAAUUUAACCCGAUCCACUUAGGAUGUGGAUUAGGACUUAUCCUAAUAGGUUUAGGAUAAUAAUAAAUUAUAUGUUUCUUAUCAGUUAAGAAACUGUUGAAGCAUGAAAAAAAGGGAAGAAAAAAAAGGAGGAAAGAAAAAGUGGAAAGAGAGAAAAUGGUGUAUAAGAUGAUCUAUGCACUAGGUGCAUGGAGAAGAUUUGAGUUCAAAUUUUGAACUAGGUGCAUAGGUUAAUCCAUGAACCAGGUGCAU
rnacentral:lncRNA from 1 species